GGCAGGUAAGAGGCUGAGGCAUGCUGCCCCUCUCUUGCGCAGCGCACACAUCGAACGCAGAGGGGAUUCUGCAGUCACAGGCGCUACAGCAGAAAAGCCCGCCGCCGGAUCAGCCUAGCUAAGGAAACUGCCAGUGAAGCCUGGGUGAAAAAGGACUGCACAUGUCUACUGGAGCCUCCGACCUGCAUGCUGGCUCAAUGCUGGAGUCCUCCCAUUCCCACUUCCAUUAAGAUCAUCGCCUGCCCAGUGCAAGCACUGCAUCAGAGGUGCAGAUGCCCCACUUUUGGCACCUGCAGAGUCUAUUCGAUGUGGAAAGCCCAUGUGUGGGUCAGCAGUGUGGGACAGCGGUUAGAGAGCUGGGCUUGGAACUGGAAGGCUGUAGGUUCACAUCCCAGGUAACCCCAGGAACGGCAGUUGUACCCUUGAGCAUGGCACUUGUUAAAUACCCAGCUCUGUGAACGGGGGAAAGCAUCACACAAAUAAAUUAAACUCCUGUUGCAAUG
rnacentral:lncRNA from 1 species